UGUGCUCAGGGUCAGCCCUUUGGUACACCUUUCAAUCACCCAGAUGUAAAGCAAUUGCCCACAUACUCAUUUACUUGGCAGUUUCUUUCAACCUGAGAUUUAGCUACUGUAUGUAUCUGAGGAAGGACGUAUCUUAGCUUGAAAUGAAUUGAGCGGCUGCAGUGCUUCUUCUUGCAGGGUGUGGGGGCUGGUCAGAGCAGACCCUGUAAGAGGGAAGCUAAGGAGUAACACCUGAGGCUGCAGGAGGCAAAACAAAUUUCACUCCCAUGGGAAGAAAAGGAGCCAAAAGGAACGGGGUGUCUUAGCCCAGUUCCACGUGGAUGGGGUCUCUGAUGUCCCACCUAGUCCUAAUAUAAUUGUCCUUUUGGCAGGGUGUCAUGGGGCAAAGGACCAGCC
rnacentral:lncRNA from 1 species